CCUACGGGUGGCAGCAGUGAGGAAUAUUGGUCAAUGGACGAGAGCCUGAACCAGCCAAGUCGCGUGAAGGAUGACUGCCCUAUGGGUUGUAAACUUCUUUUAUAUGGGAAUAAAAUGUUCCACGUGUGGGAUUUUGUAUGUACCCUAUGAAUAAGGUUCGGCCAACUCCGUGCCAGCAGCCGCGGUAAUACGGAGGAUCCGAGCGUUAUCCGGAUUUAUUGGGUUUAAAGGGGGCGUAGGGGGUUUGUUAAGUCAGUGGGGAAAGUUUGCGGCUCAACCGUAAAAUUGCAGUUGAAACUGGGAGUCUUGAGUACAGGAGAGGUGGGCGGAAUUCGUGGUGUAGCGGUGAAAUGCUUAGAUAUCACGAAGAACUCCGAUGGCGAAGGCAGCUUACUGGACUGCAACUGACACUGAGGCUCGAAAGUGUGGGUAUCAAACAGGAUUAGAUACCCGGGUAGUC
rnacentral:rRNA from 1 species